CUGGCGAGGUCCAGCCCCUCCUAGGGCCUCCUGUCGUUGCUCCCUGAACACUCGGAGGUGGCGGUGGAUCUUACUCCUCCAAGCCAGUGAGGAUCUAGCAAUCUUCUCCGUGCCUCCCCCCGCGCCUGUUGGUUGGAAGUGACAACCUUGAAGAUCGGCCGGUUGGAAGUGACGACCUUGAAGAUCGGCGGGCGCAGCGGGGCCGAGGGGGCGGGCCUGGCACUAGGUCCCGCCCCUGCACGCCAGGAACCCCAGAGGAAGUCGCAGUUCAGCCCAGCUGAGUCCUGUCUGCAGAAUCCACACCAACCAGCAUCAUGUCCAUGACACUGGGGUACUGGGACAUCCGCGGGCUGGCCCACGCCAUCCGCCUGCUCCUGGAAUACACAGACUCAAGCUAUGAGGAAAAGAAGUACACAAUGGGGGACGCUCCUGACUAUGACAGAAGCCAGUGGCUGAAUGAAAAA